rnacentral:rRNA from 1 species
AAGCAGGCUAUUACGCUUGAAUAUUAGUGCAUGGAAUAAUAGAAUAGGAAGUUGUUUCUAUUUUGUUGGUUUUCGGAAAUCGACUUAAUGAUUAAUAGGGACAGUCGGGGGCAUUUGUAUUCAAACGACAGAGGUGAAAUUCUUGGACCGUUUGAAGACAAACUACUGCGAAGGCAUUUGCCAAGAAUGUUUUCAUUAAUCAAGAACGAAAGUUAGAGGUUCGAAGGCGAUUAGAUACCGCCCUAGUUCUAACCAUAAACGAUGCCAGCUAGCGAUCUGAGGACGUUUUUUUUGUAGACUCCUCAGGAAGCUUCCGGGAAACCAAAGCGUGUGGGUUCCGGGGGAAGUAUGGUUGCAAAGCUGAAACUUAAAGGAAUUGACGGAAGGGCACCACCAGGAGUGGAGCCUGCGGCUUAAUUUGACUCAACACGGGAAAUCUCACCAGGCCCGGACACUGGAAGGAUUGACAGAUUGAGAGCUCUUUCUCGAUUCGGUGGGUGGUGGUGCAUGGCCGUUCUUAGUUGGUGGAGUGAUUUGUCUGGUUAAUUCCGAUAACGAACGAGACUCUGUCCUGCUAAAUAGUGUCAGCCUCUCUUUUGGGCUGACAAUUCUUCUUAGAGGGACUGGCGGCUCCUAGCCGCACGAGAUAGAGCAAUAACAGGUCUGUGAUGCCCUUAGAUGUUCUGGGCAGCACGCGCGCUACACUGAAUAGAUCAGCGUGUUCUCCCUUUCUGAGAAGAACGGGUAAACCGCUGAACCCUAUUCGUGGUAGGGAUCGGGGCUUGCAAUUAUUCCCCGUGAACCAGGAAUUCCCAGUAGGCGCGAGUCAUAAGCUCGCGUCGAUUACGUCCCUGCCCUUUGUACACACCGCCCGUCGCUACUACCGAUUGAACGUUUUAGUGAGGUCCACGGACUGUUUGCAGAGCGGAUUAUUCUGCCUUGCUGGCGGGAAG